rnacentral:rRNA from 1 species
GACAGAGGGUGCAAACGUUGCUCGGAAUCACUGGGCAUAAAGCGCACGUAGGCGGUUCACUAAGUCCGAUGUGAAAUCCCCCGGCUCAACCGGGGAACUGCAUCAGAUACUGGUGGACUCGAGAGUUGUAGGGGUGGACGGAACUCCAGGUGGAGCGGUGAAAUGCGUAGAUAUCUGGAGGAACACCGGAGGCGAAAGCGGUCCACUGGGCAACUUCUGACGCUGAGGUGCGAAAGCUAGGGUAGCAAACGGG